CUGGCCAAAGUCCCUCUACAGCGUUUCCCUUUCUGGCUCACCACAAGCUCCCUGGGGCCCUGGCUCAUCUUCCCUGUCUCAUCUACUGUGGUCAUGGGAAAAAGAAGACUCUUCUGCCACCCUGUCAUCCCUGCUUGUCAAACGGCUCGGCAGUGGACAGCUUCGUCUCAUGAGUGGCUCUGCAUCUCUGGAGUUUAAGUCGUCCUCUGACCUGCUGACUGAGCUUGCCCUCCGGCAGAGAGGCGUGAAGAGGAUGUGAAGGAGCCAAAAGUGGCUUGUGCAUCUGUCAGGUAGCCUCCACCUCAGCCUUCUCAGCCCCACCUCAGCUGCAGGCCUGAGGCAGAGGUCUGUAAUAUCUGUGCCUGGACUUGCACAGCUGCCUUCGGCUUCUCAGCCUUGAAGCCCUGCCUGCUUCCACUGUGAUGGAAGAGCCUAAGAGGUCUGGUGUCACCGCUGCUUGAAGCUCACCAGUGUUGCCACACUGUCCACAGGACAAAGUUCAGCUGGAUUAAUGUGACACAAGAGGCCCUGCUAAUCUGUUGCCGCUCCUGAGUCCAAGUUCCUGCCCUGACCCUGGAUGAUGGACUACAAGCGGUCAGAGAGAAAUAACCCCUUUCCUGGACAGGUUGCUUUCAGCCAUGUUGUGUUAUCACAGCAGUAGACAGACACUAGUGCAGUGACCUGAGCCCAGUGUUCAGUCCUUGAGGCGAUCUGGAUUAGAGUGCCUAGGGAAGAGGACUUACAGAGACUGGGCACCCAGUCAGCCAAGAUCCCUGCCCUGGAUGCUAACAGAAGAGCAUCAACAGCCAGCAGCUAGUGUGCUUUAAGAAGAGGCUUAGUAAUGGUUUCAUACGACAUCUAGGGGGUUUCUCAUGAACCAGACAUUCUUUAUUCAUCCUUUAUCACAAACACCUAACAAAUCAGAGCAGAACCUGCGGCACACAUUCCUGGUUUGCUUUCUAGGAAAAAUCAGACUCUCCUGAAGCUAAGCUCAUCUCACUGUGGCCCUUGGGACUUUGUGGUCACACUGAAGCCAACGCAUCUCAAAGGCCUCUGAGACCAGGUCUCCUUUUAGGUGGGCUUCUUCUGGUCCCUUCAUAGGAAAUUGGCCCUCUGCUCUGUCCUUUUGGCAGACGUUACUUUGAAACGAUUACACCGCACAUAGCUUCAGACCCUGACAGGGACAACCCUGACGUGGAGAAUUGUCAGAAGUGACCAAGUCUUUGAGAGAUUCUUAAUUCACGAGUGAUGUUCUGAUCAAGUGGUCAGGGCUUUGUUCACAUCAGGUAGGACUGGCAGGGAUGGCUCAGACUGGCUCGCAAGAACUGACUGUGCACCUCCUACCCUCAGACUAGCAGCUUGAAGUCAGCCAUGUGGGGACAUUGUAACCCAGGGAUUGCUGGAUGCCGUAAGAGCCAGUUCCGGGUUCAGCAGCAACGCACCUGCUGGAAAUGAGGACCAAGGAGACCAAGAGCAUUUCAGGGCCAGCUGCAUAGUGGCUGGGAUGUGCUGAGGAGGACUUCCCAGAAAGGUUUGAAUCGGACUUCCAGGUGAGUGCAGAAAGGUAGCCGGGGGUGGAUCACACUUAGUUACGCACACCGAUUGUACAAUGGCUUCCAAAGGUGUUCAUCCCUCAGAGUCCGUGAGUCCAAACUUCCUACGUCAGAAGGAACUUUGGAAAUGUAAUUACCUCUGUGGCCCUUGUGGCAGAAAUGCGACUUUGGAUAUCAGGUGGGCCCAGGUUUCUGUUGUUUGUUUGCUUGCUUUAAAGCUGUGAAUCCUUCCUUAACAGUAGUAAAUGGAAAAGCUUUCCUGGCUGUGUCAGAAAGAUGCCAGUGUGUGAGAGGCAAACUUGUAAAGGCAGAAGGGACCAUGAGCCGGUGGCCUUGCCAGGCAGAGAAAUAGCCUGCUGCUGAUAGCUGACAAGACAGAGAUUGCUGAAAAACCAGCCCAGCCUUCACUGUGAUGUUAGCCCACAGAGACCUGUGGCUCCGGUGCAUCACGCUUGCCUUAGCACGCAUCAAGUCCGAGGUUCAAUUCCCAGUGCUAUAGAAACCUGGUACUGGUAGUCCCUGCCUAUAUUCCCAGCAUAUCGGAAGUCCAAGGUCAUCCUCUGUUGUGUAGGGCAGCCUAGAGGAUGUGGGAGCUUAUCUCAGAAAGGAGUAGGGGUAAGUAAGAAGAAUCAGAGAGGAAGAUGAUUCCAGAGGACUGGUAUCAAGUGACAAUACAGAGAGGAUGUAGAUGAACAACAUUAGGCUGCAAGCUCAGAUGGCCAGACCCAGGCAGAUCACUGGCAAUGAAUAGGAAGAGGGAGGCAGGGGUCAGGGGGGACAGAGGGAGGCUGGUCACGGCG